GACGAACGCUGGCGGCGUGCCUAAUACAUGCAAGUUGAGCGCUGAAGGUUGGUACUUGUACCGACUGGAUGAGCAGCGAACGGGUGAGUAACGCGUGGGGAAUCUGCCUUUGAGCGGGGGACAACAUUGGGAAACGAGUGCUAAUACCGCAUAAAAACUUUAAACACAAGUUUUAAGGUUGAAAGAUGCAAUUGCAUCACUCAAAGAUGAUCCCGCGUUGUAUUAGCUAGUUGGUGAGGUAAAGGCGCACCAAGGCGAUGAUACAUAGCCGAACUGAGAGGGUGGUUGGCCAGCUUGGGGGUGAGACCGGGCACAAACUCAUUGGGGAGCGAGCCGUAGUGCAUCUUGGGGAAUGGAUGAAAGUCUGACCGCGCAACGCCGCGUCAGUGAAGAACGUUUUCGGAUCGUAAAACUCUGUUGGUAGAGAAGAACGUUCGUGCGAGUGGAAAGCACAGCAAGUGACGGUAACUAGCCAGAAAGGGACGGCUAACUACGUG
rnacentral:rRNA from 1 species